rnacentral:rRNA from 1 species
CCGGGGCAUCCCGGAGGCAGGAAAGGCUUCGGCCGGACAGGGAUGGGCAUGCGGCGCAUUAGGCAGUAGGCGGGGUAACGGCCCACCUAACCGACGAUGCGUAGGGGUUCUGAGAGGAAGGUCCCCCACACUGGUACUGAGACACGGACCAGACUCCUACGGGAGGCAGCAGUGAGGAAUAUUGGUCAAUGGUCGGGAGACUGAACCAGCCAAGCCGCGUGAGGGAUGAAGGUACAGAGUAUCGUAAACCUCUUUUGUCAGGGAACAAAGGCGGGGACGUGUCCCCGGAUGAGUGUACCUGAAGAAAAAGCAUCGGCUAACUCCGUGCCAGCAGCCGCGGUAAUACGGAGGAUGCGAGCGUUAUCCGGAUUUAUUGGGUUUAAAGGGUGCGCAGGCGGUCUGUUAAGUCAGCGGUCAAAGCCCGGGGCUCAACCCCGGCCCGCCGUUGAAACUGGCAGUCUCGAGUUGGAGAGAAGUAUGCGGAAUGCGCGGUGUAGCGGUGAAAUGCAUAGAUAUCGCGCAGAACUCCGAUUGCGAAGGCAGCAUGCCGGCUCCACACUGACGCUGAGGCACGAAAGCGUGGGUAUCGAACAGGAUUAGAUACCCUGGUAGUCCACGCAGUAAACGAUGAAUGAAGGCUGUCCGGG